CCAAACAAAAAAAAAAACCCACAAAAAACCAAAAAAACAACAUCAACCAAACGUAUUUCUUGUUUUCACAAAUAAUCAAUGUUUGAGCUGGAGUAUUUCUCUUACACUGGACCUUCUUUGGUUAGUCAAUUUUUCUGACUAACUAGUUAAGUUGUCUGCUUAUUAUCCUCAGGUUCAUUUUGCUUUAAUUCAGUUUCUUGCUUUCAGGCAUAUUUCCUUAGAAGACUGUUGCUCCACUAAUACACCGUUGUCUUUCUGCAGAAUGGACACAGUUUUCAUCCUUGAUAACUCCUUAACAUCAACUAUUUGUGGCAGGUGGAUGCAAGUCCUCACUCCUGUGUAAAACUGUGCCCUCACUGGGACAGACUUCUGCCUCUCCCGUUCCGCAGCUGUUACCCGGGGGCCAAAUUUUCUUUUCUUUUUGAGAUAUUACAGCCUGGAUUUAGCAAGGUUUUGCUUGGGGAUGCAAAGGAGAAGGAAGGUAUGCAGUCAAGCCUUGGAACUGAAAUUAAUGUGAGAUUGAGUAUUUUAGGGAUUGCAGGAAAAAAGUAAAUGUUUGAAUGCAAAAUACAUCAAAAUACAUUAGGACAUUUUAAUGUGCACUAUUCUUAAACUCAGUGUUGUGCUUUAAAAUGCAUAUUGUGUAUGAACAUAUGUGUGUGCAUGUGAGGAAGUAGAUAAAAAUAACUUGCUAAUUUUUAUUUAGGUGUGCAUCAAAAUCAUAGCCUGAGUAAUUCCUUAAAGAUCUUUAGAAGACGUGUUUAGUGUUCAUAUGCAGCAGCAAACACAACAGGGUCUUGUGCAACCUUGCUUGUGAUUCCUGCAGUUAUCAGUGCUAAUCUGAGCACCAAGAAGGAUUUUUUUAUGCCACGUCCAGAACAUGCCAGAUAGGGAUUUACACAGCACAUCCCCAGCCAUAACAACCUAGUGCAUGAAACCCAGCUUUAAAUAAGUAAAAUAUUUAAAGAGCAAGUUACAUGUACAUCAUGAUUUCCGAAAGGAUUUAACUGGUAAAGCAAUAUGUUACUGCCUCAGUACUACAGGAGGUAUAUUAAAAGGCUUAACUGUCUCAAAACAGCUCCACGGCAUGGUAUACACUGUAUCUGGAUGUAAAUCUAGAUAGGGAUUUAAAUAUUUCUUUCAUAACCUUCCCAAAAUACAGUUUUGUUAAGUCUUAUUUAUAUCUAUUAAGAAAAUAAAAACUAGUCUCCAUGCUGUAUUUGCUGCUUUUGUCAAAUAGUCUUCAAUUUUAGCAUUAAAGCUAUUUUUUAAAACUUUUGGAUGUGUUCCCAAUGUACAUUUUACAAUUUUUUUUGCCAUUUUAAAAAUGUACUUUAUCUAUAAAUAAAACUCCUUGAAACUGAUAGAGGUUUAUCAUACAAGAUAAAAUUUAUUUUCAACUACAUUUGCCAUAUAUUCACACUUAGUGAGGAUUCAUGUUGAAAUAAUUUUGGAAAUUCAUACCAAGAUAAAAAAAUAUAGUUAAAGUCUUAAUGAAACAUAUUCUGUCUUCAUAGGCUUUAGCUACCAGGUCUUAAUUUUCUGGGGCUUAUUCUCUCUUUUUUAAAGUAGUUUGACUGGCACCGUGUAUCCAAAAUAUGAUUUCUGUUCAUAAAUGAUUUUCAGGCUUAAAUACAUGACAGCUUGAAAACACUAUAAAUACCAGUGUUUCAUUAUUUUCAAAUGACUGAGUGAUUUUUAAGAAAAAUCUGUGGUUUAACAAGCUGAGACUAACUAGGCAAUUCUUAAUUUUCGGAGAAAUGAAGAGUUGUUCGUCUCUGUAUUAAUUAUGAUGAUAAAUUUAAUGAACACAGGAACUCCGGGCUCCCUGUUGACAGACAGACCAACAUAUCUCUGCAAGUGUUGGAUAACUCAUUGCAACAUAUUUCCAAGGUUUUCUCAAGACUCAAGCUACUCAAUACUUAAAAGGAAAUGCUCCUGAAGCACAAGAUGAACCUGAAGUUCAACUUAUUGUGAUAAACUGUUUUAUUUUUUAUUAAUUACUGGAAAAGUCUCACAAAAACAAAACUUUAAAAAAAAGUUUUGUAUAUAGCAAAAUGGUAUAUAGCAGCAUUUCACUCAGGAAAUUUGUUAUUCUUAGGCUAAAUUUGGAUCAAGAAACCCAUGCAUUUUAAAAUCUCAGUGAAGAAACCUUUUAUGCCCGUAGCCAGUAGAUAAAAAUGAGAGUAGAUCAAGCUUUUUUCUUUUUUUUUUUCUUUAAGACUGCUAAUUUUAAUGUGCUGUAUUAUUCUCUCUAAUCUAUAACAUGAAGUUUGCAGCAUGAAAGAAAAGGUGGGAUUCCUGCUGAGCAGAGAAAAUACAGCAGAGCCGUGUUCACCUUGCAGCCUGAGGGUGUUUUGUCGGGGUGGGGGCAUGAGGCAGACACGGGGUGGUUUGUGGGGCCGAGCCAGACGAGCCGGCCAGGGGUCAGCAUCUUGUGGCAAAUGUGCUUCAUCCCUAAACGCCAUCAGGUUUGUGGGCACGCUUCUGCCAGAGGGAUCGAAAAUGCCUGAAGCGUUGCUUCUGGGAAGACGCUGGAUAACGCGGAUUCAAACAAGGCAUUAAAGCAACUGUGCUCACGCUUUCGCAGCAGAGAAUGGAGAUGGGAGCACUCCCUGCCUGCCCUGGGCUCAUGGAUGUGCAAUUCUCAGAAGUACUUGAUCGUGUCGCCUGAUUUUAAAUUGUUGUACUCUGAACUAGGAAUGCUGCUGGAUGGUUUGGAGUUGGAUACCUGGGUGCAGUACUCCAAUGCUAAUUAAAAAGAAGUAUGCCAAACAUGAGGGUCUGGUCUCCCAACCCUUCUUCAUGGAAUGUGAGCCUGAGGGUGAGCGGAGGUGUUAAAAUUUGGGACCUACCUGACUGUGAGCUACGUAUGAGUCACCUUCAAGACAGGGUAGCUGACUCCUGCAGUAACUGGAAUCUGUGCAGCGCUGUGAAAUGCUAGUUUAGAGAGCGGACGUGUAUCCUUUUCCCUUGCUAAAUGAGCUGAUUAACAAUAUUCAUUCCUUUAGGAAAUCUGUGAAAUUUUCAUCUCUCACUAGCAACCAAUUAAAUAUAAACCAUCUAACAGGAUUAAAAUGACAAGGUUUACAGAGUUCCCAGCAAUUUCAAGUGUAUGUAUGGAUGCAUAUGUUAUACUUUGGUAUUUCAAAGAGAAACAGAAACCUUAAUAAUUUAUUGCCCCAAUAACACCUAUUCUCUGAAAGCUGAUAGGAGGGGAUUACAGUCUCUUUCUAAAGCCCCUUUUGUACGGAGGACACUUGCAAACGUGGGUGAGUUGUGGGGUACCAAAGAGCCGAUUUGCUGACGGUGGUGGCAGCCUGGAGCCUUGGUAAGCGCAGGCACAAACGCUCUCGGGGCUCGGUGCAAACUCCGCCUGUGCUGAGCGUUGCCCCGCGGAGAUGGGAGCGGCCCCGGGCUGCUGCGGGCGCCCUGCUCGCAGCGAUGUGAUGGGUGCCCUUUUGGCCCAGGGAGUAAUUCCGCCUGAUGCACCCGGGCAUGAAAGAGGCUUUGUUUCCACCUUUAUCCCUACAGGAAGAAAAGGCUCGGUGCAGGCAGGCUGCUGCCCUGCCCACCACGGCGGCUGGGCAGGGAUGCUGUCAGUCUCCCUUGUGCCUGGCUCCUCACGGGGACGGCAAAGCUCCCAGUUUUUCCCAGCCCCUAUCGCAGUGCCGGGGAGCCGCGGCUGCUCCCCUCCGGCGGGGUGCCCUGUCCCACCGGGAUGGGACAUGGAGCCAGGCCCUGGCACCAUACCAGGGGCUGAAUGAGCAGGAAGAGCAGGAGUCGAAGCAAACAAACAAAUAUUUCUUGGUGUGUGUGCAAGUUGUUAGAGACGUUGGUUUUCAGUGUCAGCCUCAGCUUUUUCUGCUACCACCUCCCAGUCGAGGGUUUUGCACUUCUUUUUAUUCCCAUUUGCGAUUUGGGGCAGCAGAUUGGAUGUGACGGGGUGAGGUGAGGACAGGAGCAGAGCGGUCCUCGCAUUACAGCGCAGGCGGCCGUCGGGGGGGACCCACACCUGCCCCCAUCUCCAUUAGCAAGCACUACCUCUCCAAGCAAGGCUCACUCCUGAGGCUAAAACAUGGUUUUACUGUCUAUGAGGGUUUGAAAAAAAAAAAAAUUAAUCUCAUAUAAUAGUGGCAUUGCAAUUAGGGAAGAGGCGUCACUUUAGAUAAUGAACAUCUUUUUAAGGUACUUAUGCAAUCUGAAAAAUCAUAGCUGGGCUGGUUGUUCUUUAAUCUUGCCAUCUACCCAAAGCAAAUUUGCAAAAGAGGGGGUUUAUUGUCAUUAGAGGAAUUCUUUCAGCUAUCAGAGGAGAGAACAAUUUCUUUGUCAUUAGCAAAAUCCCUGGCUUUCUUUCAGCACAUAAACAGUUUACACGAUGCAGUUCUAAAAUGUGCUUGUCUGUAAGCCUUCGCAGGAGCCUGAAUUGUGAACAUUUCGGCGUUUGGAUGUAAAAUCUGGGAUCUCAAUUUAGCCUUCUGUAAAUGCAAGGAUGAAGGGCAAAGCACAGAUCUGGGCAUGAAUUUUUAAAUUAAGGGUAUUCAGUUUCACAGUUUUAGGAUGGCACCUAUAUGCAGUCGACAACCAAGAUGUCUGAGCAGCUCACAGUCUGGAGUUUAUUCUUAAAUAGUCUGUGAGGCCUGGAUUGCCUAUUGUCCCCCGUACAUAAGGUUCGGAGAUGCAUUGGCCCAGGCUACGCCAGCAAAACUUCUCCAUGCAAACCUGGCAAGCCACAGCAGCAGGAAAGGUUUGAAACAGUUUGUGUCCCUUGUCAUGGUACCUCGGCUGAUCGCAGCAUAAUGGGGGCUGCAUUUAGAGGGAUAUAACAUUCCUCCCUUGGGUUAGAUCAUUACACUUGGGAAGCAGGGUGUUUUUUAAGGAUGUCCGAGAAAAAGCCGUUGCCUGCUGCUGUAGCUGGGCUUUAACUGUGUUUGGGGGAUAGAAUUGUGCUGGCGAGCCCUUGCUAGGUCACUCAGAGCCAAAGAGAUCAAGUGAUCAUUUCAAGCCUUGCAGGAAGCCAGUGCCAGAAAAGAGAUUGCAGCACAAUCCCUUGCGUUGCCUCUUGGUGUCCCAAGCAUUGGACCGCCCUGUCUCUAGUCCUAGCUCUGUUUAAAAACAGUAAAGGGGUGGUGCUGAACCACAGCUUUGUGUUAAAGCUCAAUGAUCAGUCCCCCAGAAAAGAGAUCAAAGCCUUUCAAUACCUUACAAAUCAGUUGCCUGAACAUAAAGAUGAACCUAAGCCAGUGACUGUGGCAACCUGCUGCCAGUAGAAGCAAAAGCAAUUUGUUACAGUUAAUAGAGAAUUCUUUUUUCUAAAAGAGCAACUGGGUUUCUACGGUGGGGCUGGAGAACUGGUGUGUGAGGAAGAUUGGAAUAAUUGGUAGGAGUAGGAUGUUGGGCCAAGACAAGCAGGAAAUAAAUCCAGAGAUGUGUGAAAUGUAAAAAGUGCCAACAGGUAGAGGGUCUCAGUGAUGGAAUGAUCCAAGGCAGGUUUUACAACAAAGCAGCAUGGAAGUCAAGGUAGGUUGCAGUGUAGAGUGGCUGGAAGAUUAGCACAUUGGAAACCUCCUAGGUUUGGAUAGUUUAUGUCAUGUGCAGAUCUGAACACUGGGGUCACAGGGAACAAACAGAGGGUGAUGGAUGUGCAGGGACCUCAGGGCAGGGAAGGAACAACCCCUCACAGUUAAUGUUACAAGCAAAGGUAGUGAGAUGUAACAUUUUUCAAUGAAUUGCACGAUGAAAAAGAUGGGAGUGGCCUGUGCCCUCUACAACUCCAAAACCCUGAAUGGGAUGGGGACACUCAGUAUCGUCAGCAGGAAUGUCUCACUGAAAUGCAUCUGUGGCCCCAGUACGAUCAAUGUCUGACCACGGCACUACAUUAUGUGUGCACCCAGGCAAAGCUACUCUUACAGCAGCUCACCUUGUUCACCUGUGUGUAACUCUGAAAUGCGUCAGGUUCAACAAGAGUUGAUUUUCAGCUGAGUGUGUGACAGAUGUGUUGUUUCUGGCCCAGAUGUGCUGACCUGCAGGAAAUCCUGAAGGGCUGGAGGUGCCCCAGCUGGGGCAGAGCUUGAGCUCACAGCAGGACCCAGGCCACAGCUCUGCUCCCUGCAGGGCACCUGUGCUGCAGACUCACGCUGGCUCUGCAGCACCCAUGGCUCCAUAGCGCUGGUUGAUGAUUAAGUUGCUGUGACCAGCCAAGGAGGCAAGGCUGAUGUGUUACCACAGUGCCAGAUGUCGCUGGAGGGUUGAGGUUGGAAGGGGGCUCUGGAGUUCAGCUGGUCCAACCUCCUGCUCAAGCAGGGCUCCCCAAACCAGUCUGACCAGAACCAGGUCCAGAUGGCUUUUGACUACCUCCAGGUGCAAACACCCAGCCAGACAGAUGCCAUUUUGCAUGGCCAGUUUUCCAGAAAGCUGUUUGUGCAUGGGACUAGAAAUGCCUUACCUGCAACCACACUGGACAUGGAGUUAGUGGACCCAGUACCAUCAGGGACACCACAGCUGCCCACUUCGGCAUCUCUCACGCUUUCCAGCGAGUGGCCACCAAGAGCUCUUGUAACUCCACAAGGCAACUACUUUGCACUGCGAAGUGUGAGGGCUGCGAGGCAGAAGCAGCUUUGGAAACAUCUGAAGGUAAAGCAGCUCUUGGAUAUGAAGGUGAUAUUUUGGAAGGGGCAGUGGCCAGUUUGCCUGCUUUUAAAUGAGCUAUGAUCAAGGGAAAUGGCAAGACUUUUGCAAGUUGCAAACACAUCCGUGUUUAUCUUCCUUUUAAAAAGCUGAACAAAGCUGCUGGUUUUAAUAAACUUGAGUUUGAAUCAAAUGAGAAAGCUUGAGGUCAAAUCUUACUUGAAAGCAAUCCUAGCAAUCUCUGAUUAAGAGGUGGUCAGAUAAAAUUUGAUAAGUCAAAAUCUGAUCCAGAUUUUUUUUUAAUGCAGGCAGAUUUCAAAGGCUGGGUCAUUACAGAAUGUGAGAUUUCUGUGAAUCAGCAUGUUACAUGGUCUGAUGUAUUGAGACUCAAACAAAUGUUAGACAUAUGGAAAGACCUCUAUAUAUAAUGAAAGAUGUAAAAAACAGAAUGACUGUUUAAUUUAGAAAUAGGAUAAGGGAGAGGGGCACAUUAGAGGUAUAUAAGGCAGUGAAUAGCACAGCAGAGAUAAGCCAGUGCUUCUGUCCACUCUCUAUGAGACUGUAAUUUCUAUUUACUGACACAUAAGCACUAGAAAAUUUUUACCAAGCACAGGUAAUAUACCACUGUGCCACAAGGUCCCUGUUCUUGGAAGAGCAUAUAAAGGUUACAGAAUCUAGAAAAAUUAUGUAUUUAUAUAGAUAAUAAGCUAUAAAUCAUGCUUUAGUAAGUAAACCAACUAAACCUUGGGAAAAAAUGUCCCCUGUGAGCCACAUAUUUCCCAAAAAUGCCCUAAAUGGAAUUGCUCUCAGGGACCUGUGGCUGUCAGCAGAAGCAGCAGGUGAGACAGGUCAUUGAUCUGCCCUGUGAUCUGAAAAAUUACAUUUUUUUCAGUAGUUACUGCAUCCCAGAUGUCCUUCUGCACUUGGGAAGAACCACUCCAAAUGUGGCCCAAGGGAGCUGGAUAAGCGAAUCCCAGGGCCCCAGCAAACACUAAGUAAACAGUGGCUGGAAUAACCCUCCUGCCCUGGAGGUUGCAUUAGGUGUGACUUGAAAAGGGACUCGGGGCAGCCCGUGCCAAGUAUAUGCUGGCACUCAAAUCAGUGGCCACUUGACUGCUCUUCCCAUGUCUGGUUUGGCUGGGGACCCGUCUGAUUGUGGCAUGGUGGCACCAGCUGAGGGGCCAGGCAGGCGGGGUGGAGCUCACCCACAAGCUAUGCAUUUCUGUGGGGCUUGGUCGAUGUUACAGUAAUUCUUUGCAUCCUUCACCAGGCUGGUACAGAAUAGCACUCUCACUCACAACCAAGAAUGCAAUCAGCCUCCUCCUUUCUGGAUGGGAACCGUGUUAGGAGCCAGGCUCACUCCAUGAGCCCACUUUUCUGGGAGAAAAAGCAAUGUGGCAAGAAAUGUACAUGCCCAGACCAAAUGGCAGCAAACUUAUGGUAAAGUCCCUGCAUAUAAUCUAUAUUUUAAUUAAUACUCUGCAUUAUCUAAUCAACAGAAAUCUUCUGGCACGCACGGUCUGGUUUGCAACCUAUUCAGCAGAGAAGCUUUUCUAGCCUCUCCAUAGAUCAGAGUAAUUAAGCAAAGCUGCUGCAGGGGCUUCCCCCCAUAGCUUCUUGAAUACUGGGAGUGGGGGAAUGGCACUGAAAAAACCCAGGCAACCUCUGGCAACCUCCCUCAGCCCUGGAAGGCUCUCUGGAAGAGAAAGAGGGGAAAAAAAUUGCCUUCCUUUGCUGCUGCUGUUGAGCUGGUCUCGCUCCCGCUGUCGCAGUGCCAGUGCCGAAAGCCCAUGCUGCAUCCCUCACUCGGAGCGUACUGUCCGUCCUAGAGCAGAUGCAAAGGCGGCACUGGGACCGCUCAACUUCAGAGCCUCUCCAGCAGCCUCCCAAGGAGAAGAGCACAGCUCUCCUCACAAUAUGCUGUGGGGGAGGAGGAAGGAAGGACUUUGGCCCUGUUUGCUUGUGCUAAUUGAUGGCUUCUGUUGCAGCUAUUCACACUUUUAAAAGAUGGUAACAAGUCUACUGAUUUAAAAGCAAAGAAUAAAAACCCACCAGCCUCAGCAGUGCGUUGGGUGCAGACAAAGGUUCGUUGAAGAGCACUCGGCAGAGGCACAGCAAGGGGCUGGGCAGAAGAAAUGACCCACCUGAAAACACUGAGCUCUGUGCAGAUGCACAAAAUUCCUAAAAUAUUCCACUUGUUGGGAUAUACGGGGACAUUCUCCUCUACAGUGGUGGGCUUGCAAGUCAGGGCUCAGCCCUGGCAGUGGCCUGCUCUGUGCUUAACCUCCAUGCCUCACCUUGCUCAGCUGUGAUGGCUUCUGACUUCUUUAUAAAACAUGUUCUGUGCCUCUGACUUUAGUGCUCUCCAAGUGAGAAACAUCUUACUUCAUGCAGCCUCCUCUCUGUGUACCGGGUCUCCUGUGCUGGUGUGGACAGGUGCCCUAGAGCUGUUUGGAGAAGGGCUCUGCACCCUGGCUCUCCCACCCUUUUCCUUGCAGGCAGAUAUUGUCUUCUUCUGCUGGGAGAGCACUGUACCUUGCUUAGCAGUUUACAUGGUAAAUCUAUAUUGCAAGUUGGAGGUGUGAUCACAACAUGCCUGGGUGAAACCCUGCUUGCUUUAAUUUAGUGAGCUGAGAUAUUAAUUUCAGAGGAAGAGGCAGCAGUAUGCAC